rnacentral:rRNA from 1 species
UACGUAGGUGGCAAGCGUUGUUCCGGAUUUAUUGGGCGUAAAGAGCGUGUAGGCGGCCAGGUAGGUCUGGUGUGAAAACUCGAGGCUUAACCUCGAGAUGUCAUCGGAAACCAUCUGGCUAGAGUCCGGAAGAGGUGAGUGGAACUCCUAGUGUAGAGGUGGAAUUCGUAGAUAUUAGGAAGAACACCAGUGGCGAAGGCGGCUCACUGGUCCGGUACUGACGCUGAGGUGCGAAAGCGUGGGGAGCAAACAGG